rnacentral:misc_RNA from 1 species
GAUGAAAACGUAGCGAAACGCGAUAAGUAAUGUGAAUUGCAGAAUCCAGUGAAUCAUCGAAUCUUUGAACGCACAUUGCGCCCGCCAGCAUUCUGGCGGGCAUGCCUGUUCGAGCGUCAUUUCAACCCUCGACCUCCCCUUGGGGAGGUCGGCGUUGGGGACCGGCAGCACACCGCCGGCCCUGAAAUGGAGUGGCGGCCCGUCCGCGGCGACCUCUGCGCAGUAAUACAGCUCGCACCGGGACCCCGACGCGGCCACGCCGUAAAACACCCAACUUCUGAACGUUGACCUCGAAUCAGGUAGGACUACCCGCUGAACUUAAGCAUAUCAAUAAGCGGAGGA